GUGCUGACUUUGGCAACGCAUAUACUAAAAUUGGAACAUACAGAGAAGAAAAGCAUGGCCCCUGCGCAAGAAUGACACAUAAAUUCAUGAAGCGUUCCAUAUUUUU
rnacentral:snRNA from 1 species